rnacentral:tRNA from 2 species
UGAAAUAGCUCAGUUGGUAGAGCAAUUCACUCGUAAUGAAUAGGUCGUAAGUUCGAUUCUUAUUUUCAGC